rnacentral:rRNA from 1 species
UACGGAGGAUCCAAGCGUUAUCCGGAAUCAUUGGGUUUAAAGGGUCCGUAGGCGGUUUAAUAAGUCAGUGGUGAAAGCCCAUCGCUCAACGAUGGAACGGCCAUUGAUACUGUUAGACUUGAAUUACAAGGAAGUAACUAGAAUAUGUAGUGUAGCGGUGAAAUGCUUAGAUAUUACAUGGAAUACCAAUUGCGAAGGCAGGUUACUACUUGUGGAUUGACGCUGAUGGACGAAAGCGUGGGGAGCGAACAGGAUUAGAUACCCUGGUAGUCCACGCCGUAAACGAUGGAUACUAGCUGUUGGGGGUAACUUCAGUGGCUAAGCGAAAGUGAUAAGUAUCCCACCUGGGGAGUACGUUCGCAAGAAUGAA